rnacentral:rRNA from 1 species
UAAGGAAUCUUGCGCAAUGGGCGAAAGCCUGACGCAGCAAUACCGCGUGGAGGAUGAAUGGCGUAAGCUUGUAAACUCCUUUUCUGAGGGAAUAAUUUUGAAGGUACCUCAGGAAUAAGCAACGGCUAACUACGUGCCAGCAGCCGCGGUGAGACGUAGGUUGCAAACGUUAUCCGGAAUUAUUGGGCGUAAAGAGUUCGUAGGUGGUUUGUUAAGUAGGAUGUCAAAGACCGAAGCCCAACUUCGGGAAGGCAUCCUAAACUGGCUCGCUAGAGGGAGGCAGAGGCAAGUGGAAUUCUGUGUGUAGGGGUAAUAUCCGUAGAUACACAGAGGAACUCCAAAAGUGAAGACAGCUUGCUGGGCCUUUCCUGACACUCAAGAACGAAAGCGUGGGGAGCAA